rnacentral:lncRNA from 1 species
UUUUUUUUUUUUUUUUGGUCUUUUGUCUUUUGAGGGCCACACCUGUGGCAUAUGGAGGUUCCCAGACUAGGGGUCAAGCGGAGCUGUAGCUCCCCAAUUUGAACCCUAUGCCCAUCAGCCUAUGAAAAAUGUGAUUAACGACAUAAUCAAGAUAAGUUCCAAACUACCAUACUAACUGACAUUUUUCUGCUAUCAGAGUGGUGGUUUCCACAGAUUGGCUGAAUUGGAUGGGGACCUCUGUAGGUAAUUACAGUAAUGUUUAAUAAAAACAAAACAUAGAACCUCCUUGGAGUUCCUGUUGUGGCUCAGUAAUGACAAACCCGACUAGUAUCCAUGAGAAUGCAGAUUCCAUCCCUCAGUGGGUUAAGGAUCUGGCUUCCUUAACUGUGGGCUGCCAUUCUACUUGGUCCGAAGCUCCCAUGUCAGGCUGCGAUGUAGGUCCCAGACACCGCUGGGAUCCGGCGUUGCUGUGGCUAUGGUGUAGCCCGGGAGAUCGGAUUUAACCCCUAGGCUGGGAACUUCCAUGUGCCGUGUGUGCGGCCCUAAAAAGAAAAAGUAUAUCUACAGAAGCUCCUUGAGGGGCAAGAGGAAGAACCCCCCCCCUCCAGAGAGGACAUGCAACUAGACUAAGACGAACCGGACUAGACUAAGACCCCUGGACUCUAGCACUGAGUCAUCUUUUGGCCGGGGUUCCUUCGUCAUCACUGUGACUCUGCCACCUACUCAGGCAGGUCACCCUCUCCCACUUUAUCACUCUGACCCAGACAUAGUUACAGGCCCCCAUCCUUUAUGCUCCAUAGAACAACUGAGAAUGAACCACCAAUAGUAGACAAGGUUUGAAAUUUAGUGAACUCAUGUCCAACUCAUGAUCUUUAUGCAUCCUUUCUGUGUUUUCUUAGGGUGAUGCCUAUGGCUUACCCUGAAAGGUCUCUUCUGGUCUACGGCCAUACCAUCCUGAACGCACCCCAUCUCAUCUGAAAGGUCUCUUCUGUCGCGUCACCUUGACCUAACUCAGUUGUAGCAGAGACUGUUAAAUAUCCAUCAGAAUGGAAGUUCUCCUCCUCCAGUGACACAACCGGACUACAUUUCCUAGCCUGCCUUGCAGCUAAGGUUGGUCACGUGGUUGUGUUCUGACCAAUGGAACAAGGGAGGAAGUGACGCACACUCCUUCCAGGAUAACGAAUCAUAAGCCUCCUGUGCAUGUGCCUCUAUACAUUUUCCUCCUCCUUGUGGCUGUCUGGAAUAGAGGCAAGAGCAGCACAAACUUGGAAGUUACAUACCAAAGGUGGUAGAGUUGCUAAUAGUUUGGGGUCCUGGAUAUCUUGAGAGGAGGGGGCCUCCUCUCAAACCCAUUCACUCAUUUUUCACAUGAGGAAGAAAUAGCACUGCUUAAGCUAUUCUUUUUCUUUUUAUAAAUUUUUUGGGGGUACACCUGUGUUAUAUGGAAGUUCCCAGGCUAGAGGUUGAAUUGGAGCUACAGCUGCCAGGCUAUGGCACUGGCACAGCCACAGCCACGCCAGAUCUGAGCCACUUCAGUGACUACACCACAGCUCAUGGCAAGGCCGGAUCCUUAAGCCACUGAGCCAGGCCAGGGAUGGAACCUGCAUCCUCAUGGAUACUAGUCAGGUUUGUUACCACUGAGACAUGACAGGAAAUCCUCAAGCUAUUUCUUAUUUUGAGGUCUGUUGAUUACAGCAUUUAGCCAAUCCUAACAAUACAACAUAAAGUAAUAUAUACAAGAGAAUCAUCUCUCAAUUUAGGUGAUCAAUUCCACAAGCACCUAAGAAGAGGCCAAGAAGAGCUGAGGAAGAGUAGAAAAAUAAAAUACUUAAGGAUUAAGCUGGGCAUCUCAACUAUUUCAAAACCUUAGUUGGGGGUGGGGAGGAGGUGGGAAAGGGGAGGAAUCCACUCAUCCUUAAGCUGUCUUACUGUCAUAUCUAGGAGCUACCUAGGCCCAGAGUAUAAAAGCAAUACAUAAUAAAUGUAUAACUGGGUCACUUUACUAUAUAGCAGAAAUCGAUGGAACACUGUAAAUCAACCAUAAUUUAAAAAUUAUUUUAAAAAGUGAUACAUGCACCCCUAAGUUCACAGUAGCACUAUUUGCAAUAGCUAAAACAUGGAAACAACCUAAAUGUCCAUCGACAGGUGAAUGGAUAAAGAAGAUGUGGUGCAUAUACACAAUGGAAUACUACUCAGCCAUAAAAAAGAAUAAAAUGGUGUCAUCUGCAGCAACAUGGAUGGAACUAGAGAUCAUCAUACUGAGCAAAGUAAGUCAGAAAGAAAGGCAAAUAUCAUAGGCUAUCACUUACAUGUGGAAUCUAAAAUACGACACAAAUCAACACAUCUACAAAAUAAAAACAGAGUUACAGGCAUAGAGAACAGACUUGUGGUUGCCACGGGAUAGGCUGGAGGAUUGGCAGUUCGGGGUUAGCAAAGAAUCUAUUAUUUAUAGGAGGGAGAAACAAGGUCCUACUGGAUGACACAGGGAACAAUAUUCAAUAUCCUGUGAUAAACCAUUAUGGAAAAGAAUACAAAAAAGAAAGAAUAUAUAUGUGUAACUGAGUCACUUUGCUGUACAGCAGAAAUUAGCACAACAUUGUGAAUCAACUGUUUUUCAAUAAAUUUUUUUAAAUGAAUACUCAUUUAUCUCAGUACUGCUAGGAUCUUGCCUAGUUUGAGGACAAGUGAGAGUUUGGAAGGAGACGCUGCAGUGUGAGAGUCAGA